GUGAAUCAUCGAAUUUUUGAACGCAAAUUGCACUCUCUGGUAUUCCGGAGAGUAUGCCUGUUUGAGGGUCAGUUUUAAUCAAAAUCGGUGUGGUUGCUGCCUUUUGUGGUGACGCACCGGUGGUGGGUCGCCCUGUCUUCGGUUAAGUGACCUAAAAUUUUGUAUGAUUUCUUAGAACGUAUUUAAAUGAUAUUACGUAAGUUUGAGAUACCGAAUACUAGGCGUGGACA
rnacentral:misc_RNA from 1 species